UACAGAGGUCUCAAGCGUUGUUCGGAUUCAUUGGGCGUAAAGGGUGCGUAGGCGGCGCGGUAAGUCGGGUGUGAAAUCUUGGAGCUUAACUCCGAAACUGCAUUCGAUACUGCCGUGCUUGAGGACUGGAGAGGAGACUGGAAUUUACGGUGUAGCGGUGAAAUGCGUAGAUAUCGUAAGGAAGACCAGUGGCGAAGGCGGGUCUCUGGACAGUUCCUGACGCUGAGGCACGAAGGCCGGGGAGCAAACGGGA
rnacentral:rRNA from 1 species